GGAGGGUGCAGCUCAGUGGCAGAGCAUGUGCUUAGCAGGCAUGAGAUUCUGGGUUCAACCCCCCGUCCCCCCA
rnacentral:tRNA from 1 species